UGGAGAAGGUUCUUAUAAAAUAUAUAAGAUGAUUGAAUGUCUAAUUGUGGGCCUUAGUAAAAUUGUUCACAAACAUAUUAACUAUAACAAAUGUUUAGAACAGAUCCAAGAUGCUAAUGAAAAUCUGGCUGUGUUUAGCUUAGGGACACCUUAAUUAAGUUUAUGAAUGUAAACUCAGACUCUCAUGAAGGGAUGAUUGUUGUUAACUCUUAUUUUAUUUCUCAGUCUGCUCCUAAUAUUUGUGCAAAGUUACAAAAGGCUGAACAUGGUCCUCAAACCCAACAAGGAGACCUUCUUAAUACAGUUUUCUAUGUUUUCAACAACAGAGAAAAAACUCAAAAAGAGGCACAAAAAAAAAAAAAAGAAAUUUGCUAAAUAUCAAUCUGAUCCUUUAGCAGUGGCACUUGGAGCUCCCAACACAGGAAAGCCAAAACAAGGCAGAGCUGCCUGAGUCCCUCCCAGACCAUGCUUCAAGUGCAACAAAGGACACUGGGAGAUGCCAUCACCACCAGAUUCAUCACUGCCUGAUCUAUUCAGGCUUGCUGCUGAAGAUUGACAGAGCUCGGGGCCCACAGUCCCCAUUAAGGUAUCCUUCUCGGAGUCUCACUAGAGGUCUCAGUCUAAAUGCGGGCAUUCACCAAUCAUGAAGUUGUCCUGGCUGAAACACCUGGUACCAGCUUCUGCAUGGGCAUCAACCAUCAUCCCGUCAACCUUCCUAAACCCCAAUAUAGUGCCCCCUCUCAGCAGGAAAUAAUAAGAGAGAGACUUCACUCUUUUCCUAACAAUAAAAAGAUAGGAAUGAAAGGAUUUUGCCCUAGAAUAAGUUACUCAGUAUUACAGCAGUGGGAGGGGGAGCCAAGGGAUGUUUACCUUGAGGUUACUUCCUCCUUCCCCUAUGAGAACUUCCUUUUUCCUUUCCCAGUGGUGUGAAAAAGGUCCCAAUCAGCUGCUUUCGUGUCAUCAAUGCCCACCCUAAGCACCACCCCCAGUCAGAGGUUAUAUGUAUAUCCCAUACUGCACAUUAAGAUCAGAAGAGGCCCAGACCAUCUGUGGUCACUGGACUCUUCUCCACAUCCUUGGA